AAUAAUGAGUCUUGCAUCAAGACCCAGUUCUCUUGGGUCCUGCAACAGGAUCUAGUGCUCUUGGGUCCACGUCAGGACCCAAUUUUCUUGGGUUCUUUGUCAGGACUCAAGGCUAUUGGGUUUUAGGUUUUUAAAUAUAAUUAUU
rnacentral:pre_miRNA from 1 species